UUUCCGUAGGUGAACCUGCGGAAGGAUCAUUCAUAAUAAGUGUUUUACGGCACUUUUUUGAAUCCAUAUCCACCUUGUGUGCAAUGUCAGGGUUGAUUUUUCUCUCGAGAGGAUCAACCCCAAACAUCAACUAUAUCUCAACUCUUUGUCUGAAAAAUAUUAUGAAUAAAACAAUUCAAAAUACAACUUUCAACAACGGAUCUCUUGGCUCUC
rnacentral:misc_RNA from 1 species